rnacentral:lncRNA from 1 species
CGGUCACCUGCGGCCGGGGCGGCCCCGCUCCGCUCCGCCGGCCCCGCCGGGGCGGCCGCGGCGUCACCGGGAACGGCCGGGAAAAGCCGGAGAAACAAAGAACAUGGCGAGGGGAGGAGGAGCUUACGCCGCCUUAACCGCUGGGAAGGGCGCUCCGGGGGCGUACAAUGCCCGCCGCGGGGCGGGUUCGCUUCCCUCCGCCCCCUUUCCCCGCCCUUGUGGCCGGGCUGGCGGGGGGCUGGGGCGGAACGGGAUGGGACGGGCUGAACUGGACUGGAUUGGAGGUGGCCGUCGGGAGCGGGUCCGCUGUCUGCCGCAAGUUUCGCCCAGAGUGGGAAAGUUGGGCGGGAUCCGUCCAGAUUCCUGGAAAUCUGAGGAGCAGACUUUGGCGGACGAAGAAUGUAAUUCUUCCCAGAGGUGUGGGUACCUCUUAUGAAGGGGACUGAAGUAGGAUCAGCUGAUAUCCAAGAAGCUCAACUUCAGGACAUGCAAGAGUACUUUGGAGUGAACUGGCAGUAAGCCUUGCAGUACCAUGGUGGCAAUAAUACUGGCUGUCCUCUGGAGAUGCUGAAGCUUUGAACUUCUUUAUUAGACCCUCCAACUUGUUCACAAAGGACUUAAAACUGAUUUGGAUUCAUAUGGUCAUGGGUAUGGAUUUUUUCCUCCCAUUUCCUGACAUCUGUGUGUUUCCAGCAGUCAGUGAUGAAGUCAGUGCUAGGUCUGCUGACAUUUGGUCUGUUCUGGGGAGCUCUGAGUGACAGGUACUGUAAACAUCCUACACUCUCAGCUGUGGAAACUAAGAAAGCUGGGAGAAGGCUGUUUACUCUCCCUGCCUUGGAAAUCAUCUGGAGGGCAAGGAUGGAAUAUUCUGUUGAUUGUAUUUCUGACAGCUUGUAUUUCAUACUUUACAUUAUGGUGUCAGUAAACAAAUUCUGUCAUUACAUCACAUCAUCAAUGUCUUGUGUUCAGACCAAGGUCAGAAGGACAUUGUCAUAUUCUUCAGCUGUACUGCUGGCUUGAGGGAAGCUUAAAUAGUGCAAUAAUACACUGCAGUACUUCCAUCCUUAAGCAGUGAUUAAAAAAGACCUGUCACACUGUUUGUUUGAAGGUAGUGAUACAUAGAAGUUGCAGUGUGGACAUUCUCAAACUGACACAUCAGUAUUGUAUUUAAUCAAAAUCACCCUUAAAUGGUUGGGGCUUUUUUCUAAGAUCUACUCAAUUCUUGUUUUCUACCCAAAAGAGCUAGAAACAGAGGUUGGAAGGCAAAAAGAUUGUAGGGGAAUUAAAAUUUCAGUUUCUUUUAGAAGAAAAUCAGAGGUGUUAACAUGAACUCCAGCUCUAAAUUAAAUUAGAAUACAAAGGUCUUAUACCUCAUGUUUUCCACUUGAUGUUCCCUACCACUUG